rnacentral:rRNA from 1 species
UACAGAGGUCUCAAGCGUUGUUCGGAUUCAUUGGGCGUAAAGGGUGCGUAGGCGGCGCGGUAAGUCGGGGUGUGAAAUCUUGGAGCUUAACUCCGAAACUGCAUUCGAUACUGCCGUGCUUGAGGACUGGAGAGGAGACUGGAAUUUACGGUGUAGCGGUGAAAUGCGUAGAUAUCUGGAGGAACACCGGUGGCGAAGGCGGCGUCCUGGACCAACACUGACACUGAUGAGCGAAAGCCAGGGGAGCAAACGGG